AUUAUAAAAUACGUUUCCUUUCCCUGUAAAGUCCAUUGCUCUUAUCUAGUCCUCCUCCUCCUCCUCCUCCUUCAUCUUCUCGUCUUUCUCGUACUUCUUGGAUUCCUCCCCUCGUAUAUAUUUCUCUUAUUUAUCGGUUCUUGUUCCAGAAGCUCUAUCACGUCCAUACCAAGCCGAAAUGAAGAAAGCCGUGUUGAAACUGGACUUGCACGACGACAAAGCCAAGCAGAAAGCCAUGAGCAGAGUCUCUGGACUUUCAGGUGUUGAUUCAAUCUCCAUGGACAUGAAGGAUCAGAAAUUGACUGUAACAGGAGACAUAGAUCCAGUUGUCGUGGUGAGAAAACUGAGAAAGCUGUGUCCCACAACUAUUGUCUCUGUUGGUCCAGCAAAGGAGCCGGAGAAAAAGAAGGAAGAGCCCAAGAAAGAGGAACCCAAGAAGACAGAAGAGAAAAAGAAAGAUCCAAAUGAUGUUUCUGAGCUUGUUAAGGCCUACAAAGCUUAUAAUCCUCACAUGACUACAUAUUAUCAUGAGUUCAAGAGAUGCGACACAAAUUUAAGCCGGCCAACAUGGUUUGGAAUUUGAAUUGAGAAGCGACUACCUUACAAAAGCUUCUUUACACAAUUCUUAUCCUUGAUUUCGAAUAUUUAAUAUUAAAAUACUGAUGAUUGAUUCAUCUGAUAGAGACAAUAUGCUAAAGUAAGUGUGUGUGGAUGCAGAUGCUCCAAUGAGUAACACGCACUUCACUCGUGAUAUUCAGUUAUUCACCUGACUUCCUGCAAAGCCUGGUAUCCAUGCAUGAUUUCUGAUCAUGGGUUAAGGUUUGCUUGGUUGUUGGGUUGAGAAUAGAGCUGCUUCUUGGUUAGGAUGUUGGAGGAGUUUGUGGGAGGUGGAGAGGGAGUAGAGUUUUACGAUGUGUAUCUGUGUUAUUGGGGCUGGUUACCUUAACCUACCAAAAAUGAGUGGCAGUGCCUUUAAUGAUAUUUGGUUACGCUCGCAUUGGGAAUCAAAUUCAGGACUCUCCAAGUCCGUAUGGUUUGGCCCCACACUCAAAGAAAUUCAUCACUAGACUAAAGUGGUUAUGUACAAUCUAUAUAGUACCAGCCUAUCAGGCUCGCAGUGGGAAUCAAAUUCAAGACUUUCCGAGUCCAUAUGGUUUGACCUCCACACUCAGAGAGGUUCACCGCUAGACUAUUAGUCAAGUGGUUAUCUAUAGUCUAUCCAGUACCAACCUACCAGGCGCUCAGUGAGCAGCACCUGCAAAACUAGUUUGGAGAUCUUGGUACAUAUUUACCAGGGGAAGCAGACAGAGUUGGUCUUGCAAUUGGUAAAUGAAUGUAUGGUGAGACUGGUGAAUACAGAGCUACUGGAGUACUAGUAUAUGAAGAACGCGGAGUACUACAGUGAGAAUACUGAUAAACUGGGGAUGCCACUCCAGGCGAUGCAAUUGAUUUCAAUGUUGUUGAAGUAAGCAUAUUGAUCUUGAUUCUGAAACGGAGCAGGGAAGUGAUCAGAAUAGCAUAAUAAGACCGCGGAAAAUAGAGCGACAGAGAAGCAUUACUUGUUGUGAGCGUCGACGUACUCGUCGGUCUCAUCCAGUAUUUCUUCCUACACAAUUUCAGAAUAGUAUGUGAGCAUCUUCUGCUGAAGAUGUAUGAAUUUUCUGCUAUAUUAAGCACUGACCUGCAACAGUUCUUCCAUAACAUCCUCCAAGGUUAUGAUACCAAUAACCUCCUCAUCUUCAAAGGGAAGAUAUUCCAAGCCUUCUUGUUUUGAAUUUGAAUUGAUAUUGAUCUUGAAAA